GGGGGCGCACCGGUUUCGACGGGGAUGCAGACAUCGCAGACAGCGGGCCGAGGUGCCGCGGGCCUCGUAAAAAGCGGCAAAAAAAUAAUCGGCAACGAUUACGAAUACGCUUACGCGGCUUAACCAAGCCGCGCCGUAAUGCGUGAUAGUGCCUGACAGGCACGCAUUGCGGACGAUUUAUUCAGGCCGGCAUUCGGAGGCGCCCGCCCCGAAGGAUGCGAGACGCCGAGACGGGCUGGUUGCGGCACGCUGUGAGCGGGUGCAAAGCCGCAGCAAGAGAGUAAACACGCUCUACGCCCGUAGAUGUUGCGGCUGAAGCUUCUCGGACGCGAGUUCAACUCUCGCCGCCUCCACCA
rnacentral:tmRNA from 1 species